rnacentral:rRNA from 1 species
CUACGGGAGGCAGCAGUGGGGAAUAUUGGACAAUGGGCGAAAGCCUGAUCCAGCCAUGCCGCGUGUGUGAAGAAGGUCUUCGGAUUGUAAAGCACUUUAAGUUGGGAGGAAGGGCAGUAAGUUAAUACCUUGCUGUUUUGACGUUACCAACAGAAUAAGCACCGGCUAACUUCGUGCCAGCAGCCGCGGUAAUACGAAGGGUGCAAGCGUUAAUCGGAAUUACUGGGCGUAAAGCGCGCGUAGGUGGUUCAGCAAGUUGGAGGUGAAAUCCCCGGGCUCAACCUGGGAACUNCCUCCAAAACUACUGGGCUAGAGUACGGUAGAGGGUAGUGGAAUUUCCUGUGUAGCGGUGAAAUGCGUAGAUAUAGGAAGGAACACCAGUGGCGAAGGCGACUACCUGGACUGAUACUGACACUGAGGUGCGAAAGCGUGGGGAGCAAACACGGAUUAUGAUACCCUGGUAGUAUCACGC